UACGUAGGGUGCAAGCGUUGUCCGGAAUUAUUGGGCGUAAAGAGCUCGUAGGUGGCCUGUCGCGUCGGCUGUGAAAACUCGGGGCUCAACUCCGAGCUUGCAGUCGAUACGGGCAGGCUAGAGUUCGGCAGGGGAGACUGGAAUUCCUGGUGUAGCGGUGAAAUGCGCAGAUAUCAGGAGGAACACCGGUGGCGAAGGCACUCUACUGGCCGAUGACUGACACUAAGAGACGAAAGCUAGGGGAGCAAAUGGG
rnacentral:rRNA from 1 species